AGGCAGUUGGGAGACAGAGGAGGCUCUUCCGGCCCACCGUGUCGGGGCGUACGAGCACGAGUGCGGGUGGGCGUGGUCGUGGUGCGCACCGUCUU
rnacentral:tRNA from 1 species